rnacentral:rRNA from 1 species
GGGGAAUUUUGGACAAUGGGCGCAAGCCUGAUCCAGCCAUGCCGCGUGAGUGAAGAAGGCCUUCGGGUUGUAAAGCUCUUUCGCAAGGGAAGAAAUCGUGCAGGCUAAUACCCUGUAUGGAUGACGGUACCGGAAUAAGAAGCACCGGCUAACUACGUGCCAGCAGCCGCGGUAAUACGUAGGGUGCGAGCGUUAAUCGGAUUACUGGGCGUAAAGCGUGCGCAGGCGGUUGUGUAAGACAGGUGUGAAAUCCCCGGGCUUAACCUGGGAACUGCGCUUGUGACUGCACGGCUAGAGUACGGCAGAGGGGGGUGGAAUUCCUGGUGUAGCAGUGAAAUGCGUAGAUAUCAGGAGGAACACCGAUGGCGAAGGCAGCCCCCUGGGCCUGUACUGACGCUCAUGCACGAAAGCGUGGGGAGCAAACA